GAAAAAUUUUCUUGUAAGAGUGUAUUUUUUAUCUAAGAGUUUGCUCUUUUAUUUGAGAGUUUGCUUUUUUAAGAGUUUUCCGGGGAAGGUUUUCCGGUUUAUCCCGGAGGGCUUGUAGCUCAGUUGGUUAGAGCGCGCGCUUGAUAAGCGUGAGGUCGGAGGUUCAAGUCCUCCCAGGCCCACCAAUUUAGAAUUACCAAUUGGAAUUGCUUAACCCACUGUUGAGAAACUCCCUCCUUUAUGAGAGAAAUCUCUAAAAACAAGAGAAAACUCUUGAGAGCCUCAAAUGAUGGAUUUCAAAUUCUCAAUAAGAUUUAAACCCAUCAGAUCUAAAUCAAUAAGGUUUAAAAGUGUUGGUAAAAU
rnacentral:misc_RNA from 1 species